rnacentral:rRNA from 1 species
CUGGCGGCGUGCUUAACACAUGCAAGUCGAGCGAUGAAGUUUCUUCGGAAAUGGAUUAGCGGCGAACGGGUGAGGAACACGUGAAGAAUCUGCCCUCCACUUUGGGAUAACACCGGGAAACCGGUGCUAAUACCGAAUAUUGAAACAUAAGUGGCAUCAGGUUUGGAUAAAAGUUAAGGCGGAUAGAGAUGAGCGUGCGUCUGAUUAGCUAGUUGGUGAGGUAACGGCUCACCAAGGCGACGAUCAGUAGGGGGCGUGAGAGCGUGAUCCCCCACACGGGUACUGAGACACGGACCCGACUCCUACGGGAGGCAGCAGUAAGGAAUAUUGGUCAAUGGGCGGAAGCCUGAACCAGCCAUGCCGCGUGCGGGAAGAAGGCCCUCUGGGUUGUAAACCGCUUUUGUCAGGGAAGAAUGGAGAGGAUUCAUCCUCUUAGGGACGGUACCUGAAGAAUAAGCACCGGCUAACUCCGUG